rnacentral:rRNA from 1 species
AUGGCUGAAUGUACAAUCUCUUGGUUGACUCAACGAUGAAAAACGCAGAGAAAUGUGAUGAGAAAUAUGAAUUGCAACCUUUGUGAAUCAUCGACUCUUUAAAGACACCCCACCCCUUGAAAUAUUCCUGAAUGCAUGCCA